rnacentral:rRNA from 1 species
GGGUGAACGCUCGCGGUGUGGAUAAGGCAUGCAAGUCGUACGGUUCUGAAGUGGACUUUGUCUGCUUCAGAAUAGUGGCGAACGGGGUAGUAACGCGUAUCUACCUACCUCUUAGUCGAGAAUAACUCAUCGAAAGAUGAGCUAAUGCUCGAUGGUCUCAGUUAUUUUUGUUAAAAUAACUGAGUAAAGCCGCAAGGUGCUAAGAGAAGGGGAUGCGUCCGAUCAGCUAGUUGGUGAGGUAAUGGCUCACCAAGGCUAAGACCGGUAGGGGGCCUGAGAGGGUGUUCCCCACCAAGGGUACUGAGACACGGACCCUACUCCUACGGGAGGCAGCAGCCAUGAAUAUUCGGCAAUGGGCGAAAGCCUGACCGAGCGACACCGCGUGCCGGAAGAAGCCCUUCGGGGUGUAAACGGCUUUUCUGGGAGAGGAAGUCCCGUUUUGCGGGAUUGACAGUAUCCCAGGAAUAAGGGACGACCAACUUCGUGCCAGCAGUCGCGGUAAGACGAAGGUCCCAAGCGUUACCCGGAUUUACUGGGUGUAAAGGGAGAGAAGGCGGUGUUUUAAGUUCUUCCUUAAAGACUACGAGCCCAACUCGUAGUAAGGGAAGAAUACUGAAACACUAGAGAUUGCAAGGGGCCAACAGAACGGUCGGUGUAGGGGUGAAAUCCGAAGAUAUCGACCGGAAUGCCAAAGGCGAAGGCAGUUGGCUAGUGCAAUUCUGACGCUGAUCUCUCGAAAGCUAGGGGCGCGAACCGGAUUAGAGACCCGGGUAGUCCUAGCUGUAAACGAUGGGUGCUAACUUUGGGGAGUUUCGACCCUCUCCGAGGUAAAGCUAACGCGUUAAGCACCCCACCUGGGGAGUACGGCCGCAAGGCUGAAACUCAAAGGAAUAGGCGGAAGCCCGAACAAGCAGUGGACCAUGUUGCUUAAUGCGAGAGUGAGCGCAGUACCUUACCCAGGCUUGACAUGCUUGUCUUAAUGCUUCUUUCGAAAGAAAGAAGAAUCCUACGCAAGUAGGAGGGCAAGCACAGGUGUUGCAUGGCCGUCGUCAGCUCGUGGUGUGAAUCGUAACCUUAAGUGGCACAACGAGCGCAACCCCUAUCCUGUGUUACAUGUGUCACAGGAGACUGCCGGGUAUAACCUGGAGGAAGGCGGGGAUGACGUCAGGUCUGCAUGGCCCUUAUGCCUGGGGAUGCAAACAUGGUACAAUGGUAGCUACAACGAGAAGCAAAGGCGUGAGCCGGAGCAAAUCUCUAAAAAGCUACCCCAGUUCGGAUUGAAGGCUGCAAUUCGCCUUCAUGAAGCUGGAAUUGCUAGUAAUCGCGGGUCAGCUACACCGCGGUGAAUACGUUCUCGGGCUUUGCACUCACCGCCC